GACGAACGCUGGCGGCGUGCUUAACACAUGCAAGUCGAACGGAAAGGCCCUGCUUGCAGGGUACUCGAGUGGCGAACGGGUGAGUGACACGUGGGUGAUCUGCCCUGCACUUCGGGAUAAGCUUGGGAAACUGGGUCUAAUACCGGAUAGGAGCCAUCUUUAGUGUGGUGGUUGGAAAGUUUUUUCGGUGUAGGAUGAGCUCGCGGCCUAUCAGCUUGUUGGUGGGGUAAUGGCCUACCAAGGCGGCGACGGGUAGCCGGCCUGAGAGGGUGUACGGCCACAUUGGGACUGAGAUACGGCCCAGACUCCUACGGGAGGCAGCAGUGGGGAAUAUUGCACAAUGGGCGCAAGCCUGAUGCAGCGACGCCGCGUGGGGGAUGAAGGCCUUCGGGUUGUAAACUCCUUUCGCUAGGGACGAAGCUUUGUUGUGACGGUACCUAGAUAAGAAGCACCGGCUAACUACGUG
rnacentral:rRNA from 1 species